rnacentral:rRNA from 1 species
UACGGAGGGGGCUAGCGUUGUUCGGAAUUACUGGGCGUAAAGCGCACGUAGGCGGACCAGCAAGUUAGGGGUGAAAUCCCGGGGCUCAACCCCGGAACUGCCUUUAAAACUGUUGGUCUGGAGGUCGAGAGAGGUGAGUGGAAUUCCGAGUGUAGAGGUGAAAUUCGUAGAUAUUCGGAGGAACACCAGUGGCGAAGGCGGCUCACUGGUCCAUUACUGACGCUGAGGUGCGAAAGCGUGGGGAGCAAACAGG